CCGCCGCCGCCGCCCGCAAGCGGCCCGCCGGGGAAGGUUCCUCGGCCCAGAACAAAAGAGCGCACCGGGAGGAGAGCGGGGCCGGGGCGGGCGGCGCCCCGAGCGCGGACGCGGGCCCCGCGGAGCGGACCCCGAGGAAGCCAGCGCCGCGCAGGCCCACGACGUAGACUGGAAUCAAGAAAUGUUUCCUUGUUAGAAACAUGGCGGCUCAAGCCUGGAAGAGGCCUGUGAAUGCUUUUUGAGACAUAUCGCUGACUCACAAAUAAGCACUGAACAAGAGUGGACAGGGAACACUAAGUUACCGGCCUCUUCUGCCUUGAGAGGCUCUACCGCCGCCUCCAGCCUGGGAUGUAGCAUCAUGCAAUUAGGUUUUGCCUUAUUUGCUUCUUUGUCCUACCUGUGUACAUAGUUUUUACUUUUUAUGUAGCACAUAAAACUUUAGGGGGGGUGGGCGGGGUUGGGGGGGUGGAGAUCUUGCUUCCAUUUAUAGCAAGGACAAAAAAACAUUCGUGACUUGCAGAGAAGCAAUUUGGGGGAAGGGUCUGUUUUCCCUUAAAGAUUUAAUCAUGGCCCUUUUGGGGUGAGAAUCUGAGACUUCAUUUAAAAAAAAAAUCAAGAUUUGAACACUGGCUUACAGAGAGUGGCUCUGUAUUUGUAUACAAAUCCUGCUCUCAUGUGGGACCUGGGAGGUUUUCCAGUCCUUUUACGUAGCAGCAAAUGCCUGAAAACAACAAAAAGUCCGCCUUAGUGUGCCUUUAAAAUUGGAAGCCACCCCUUCAUUUUCCAGCAGUUUGGUAAGAAGCCAGGUAGUUGGAGGCAUAAAAUCUGGUUGGGGUGUGUUUGUGUACGUGGGAAUUCUGAAUGUUGACAACUGACCCUCUUUCUAUACGCUUGCCAAAUUCGUUGGGGAAAUUUUAGUUUCCUUUCCACUCCAGCUAUCCUCAGUUUUUAUAGCUCUGUACCUUUACACACACAAGAAAGAAUCUUCCAUUCCAUGCUCCUGGUUCUGUUUGAUUUGCCUACGGGCAGGCGGCUGUGUGGACGUUUUUCAGGAGGGCAGGGAUGGCGCUCUAUAUAUGUGCCUUCAUGUUUUUGUAGGAGACAAAAUCAUUUCACUCCCAGUGGACCUGUACAUAACUGUAAAGACACUGAAAAAUUAUACUAACUUAUUUAUGUUACAAAGAGAUCUCUUUAAAAAAAAAAAAAAAGAAUCUAACCAAUAUACAAGCCAAAGUGGCAAGUUGUGUGCAUUUGUAAAUGCUGUUCUGGGCAGACUAGGCCCACUUCCAUUUUUUUGUUAAAUAAUACGGCUGUGCUUAAAAGAUUGCAUACUGAGCCAAGUAUAAUUUUUUUUGUAAUAUGUGAAAAAAUGCCAAUUACUGUUACACAUCAAGCAAUCAAUAAAGAAAACUUCUGUAGCUA